UACGUAGGGUGCAAGCGUUGUCCGGAAUUAUUGGGCGUAAAGAGCUCGUAGGCGGUUUGUUGCGUCGGCUGUGAAAUCCCGAGGCUCAACCUCGGGUCUGCAGUCGAUACGAGCAAACUAGAGUGUUGCAGGGGAGACUGGAAUUCCUGGUGUAGCGGUGAAAUGCGCAGAUAUCAGGAGGAACACCCGUGGCGAAGGCGGCCCACUGGGCCGGACCUGACG
rnacentral:rRNA from 1 species